AACGACUCUCGGCAACGGAUAUCUUGGCUCUCGCAUCGAUGAAGAACGCAGCAAAAUGCGAUACUUGGUGUGAAUUGCAGAAUCCCGUGAAUCAUCGAGUUUUUGAACGCAAGUUGCGCCCGAAGCCUUUUGGUGGAGGGCACGUCUGCCUGGGUGUCACGC
rnacentral:rRNA from 1 species